rnacentral:rRNA from 1 species
UACGUAGGGGGCUAGCGUUGUCCGGAAUCAUUGGGCGUAAAGCGCGUGUAGGCGGUCCGGUAAGUCCGCUGUGAAAGUCGGGGGCUCAACCCUCGGAUGCCGGUGGAUACUGUCGGGCUUGAGUACGGAAGAGGCGAGUGGAAUUCCUGGUGUAGCGGUGAAAUGCGCAGAUAUCAGGAGGAACGCCAAUUGCGAAGGCAGCUCGCUGGGAAGUUACUGACGCUGAGACGCGAAAGCGUGGGGAGCAAACAGG